AUGAAGAACGUAGCGAAAUGCGAUAAGUAAUGUGAAUUGCAGAAUUCAGUGAAUCAUCGAAUCUUUGAACGCACAUUGCGCCCGCCAGUAUUCUGGCGGGCAUGCCUGUCUGAGCGUCAUUUCAACCCUCAUGCCCCUAGGGCGUGGUGUUGGGGAUCGGCCAAAGCCCGCGAGGGACGGCCGGCCCCUAAAUCUAGUGGCGGACCCGUCGUGGCCUCCUCUGCGAAGUAGUGAUAUUCCGCAUCGGAGAGCGAUGAGCCCCUGCCGUUAAACCCCCAACUUUCCAAGGUUGACCUCAGAUCAGGUAGGAAUACCCGCUGAACUUAAGCAUAUCAAUAAAGCGGAGGA
rnacentral:misc_RNA from 1 species